CUAAAAAAAUAGUGACCUAAACUUCACCCUUGUCUAAGCAAACUAGCCAUUUCUCUCUCUUACCGAGUCUCUUAUUUCCCUUCUCCUCCACCUACCAUGAGCCACACCACCCUCUUCUCCAAAUGGGGUGGCUUCAAUCACUCUUCUCUCCAUUGAAGAAACUGUGGUUUCGUAUCCACUCAGCUCACAGAAAGAGUAGGGGGAUAUACAUCUUGUAUGAAGAUGUAAAGUCGUGCCAAUAUGAAGACGUGCAUGUACUGUGGUCCAUACUAGUGGAGUCUCAUCCGCCUGCUUUGCCUCCACCAAAAUGCAGCGGCGACACAUAGCACAAAUUUGGAGACUUUAAUCUCAUGUAAAUAUUUUAAUUAAUUAAAGGUUUUCUGUCUUCUUUUUUUGGGUAUCUUUUUUCUUUUCCCAUUUUGAUUUCCGGCAUCAACAGAGAGAGUUCCUCAGAGAAUGUCCCUCUUAAAUUAUGAAUGUAGUAUUUAUCUUUGAGUUAUUCUGAAAUCUUCUUCCAAGAA